rnacentral:rRNA from 1 species
AAAUUGAAGAGUUUGAUCAUGGCUCAGAUUGAACGCUGGCGGCAGGCCUAACACAUGCAAGUCGAACGGUAACAGGAAGCAGCUUGCUGCUUUGCUGACGAGUGGCGGACGGGUGAGUAAUGUCUGGGAAACUGCCUGAUGGAGGGGGAUAACUACUGGAAACGGUGGCUAAUACCGCAUAACGUCGCAAGACCAAAGAGGGGGACCUUCGGGCCUCUUGCCAUCAGAUGUGCCCAGAUGGGAUUAGCUUGUUGGUGAGGUAACGGCUCACCAAGGCGACGAUCCCUAGCUGGUCUGAGAGGAUGACCAGCCACACUGGAACUGAGACACGGUCCAGACUCCUACGGGAGGCAGCAGUGGGGAAUAUUGCACAAUGGGCGCAAGCCUGAUGCAGCCAUGCCGCGUGUAUGAAGAAGGCCUUCGGGUUGUAAAGUACUUUCAGCGGGGAGGAAGGUGUUGUGGUUAAUAACCACAGCAAUUGACGUUACCCGCAGAAGAAGCACCGGCUAACUCCGUGCCAGCAGCCGCGGUAAUACGGAGGGUGCAAGCGUUAAUCGGAAUUACUGGGCGUAAAGCGCACGCAGGCGGUCUGUCAAGUCGGAUGUGAAAUCCCCGGGCUCAACCUGGGAACUGCAUUCGAAACUGGCAGGCUUGAGUCUUGUAGAGGGGGGUAGAAUUCCAGGUGUAGCGGUGAAAUGCGUAGAGAUCUGGAGGAAUACCGGUGGCGAAGGCGGCCCCCUGGACAAAGACUGACGCUCAGGUGCGAAAGCGUGGGGAGCAAACAGGAUUAGAUACCCUGGUAGUCCACGCCGUAAACGAUGUCUACUUGGAGGUUGUGCCCUUGAGGCGUGGCUUCCGGAGCUAACGCGUUAAGUAGACCGCCUGGGGAGUACGGCCGCAAGGUUAAAACUCAAAUGAAUUGACGGGGGCCCGCACAAGCGGUGGAGCAUGUGGUUUAAUUCGAUGCAACGCGAAGAACCUUACCUGGUCUUGACAUCCACAGAACUUUCCAGAGAUGGACUGGUGCCUUCGGGAACUGUGAGACAGGUGCUGCAUGGCUGUCGUCAGCUCGUGUUGUGAAAUGUUGGGUUAAGUCCCGCAACGAGCGCAACCCUUAUCCUUUGUUGCCAGCGAUUAGGUCGGGAACUCAAAGGAGACUGCCAGUGAUAAACUGGAGGAAGGUGGGGAUGACGUCAAGUCAUCAUGGCCCUUACGACCAGGGCUACACACGUGCUACAAUGGCGCAUACAAAGAGAAGCGACCUCGCGAGAGCAAGCGGACCUCAUAAAGUGCGUCGUAGUCCGGAUUGGAGUCUGCAACUCGACUCCAUGAAGUCGGAAUCGCUAGUAAUCGUGGAUCAGAAUGCCACGGUGAAUACGUUCCCGGGCCUUGUACACACCGCCCGUCACACCAUGGGAGUGGGUUGCAAAAGAAGUAGGUAGCUUAACCUUCGGGAGGGCGCUUACCACUUUGUGAUUCAUGACUGGGGUGAAGUCGUAACAAGGUAACCGUAGGGGAACCUGC